GCGUCGAUAGCAUAACGGUUAGUGCCUCUGAUUUCCAAUCAGAUGAUCUGGGUUCGAUUCCCAGUCGACGCA
rnacentral:tRNA from 1 species